GUGGAAGAAGCAAAGUUGGCGGUUUUGGAGACGGACGUCUAUUUAUCCAUACUGGGACAAAAAUGAAGGUUAUUGAAAAGAAUCAUGCUUGGUGGAAGAAGUAAUUACAUUUUUUUUCAAAUCUCAGAGGAAUAAUGCUUUUAUAUUUCCUGCAAUGACCCGAUUUGCACUACGAUAUGCUCCCUUAAAUGUGAUUUAAACAGAAGAGAGGACCACCCCGCCAACAAAAUGUCCAGGUCCUAUUCCAUGGAACCCAUGAAUAUGUUGCCCUACAUUGCAAAAGGGACUUUACAGAUGUCGGACUGGUUGAAAACUAAAAUCUUAAAUCAAUUCAUGGUGUCAGGAAUGGAGCAGGAUAGAGAUCGUUCCUGAAGAUGCCGUGGAUCACCUUCCUCUGAGACAAAGGGCACCCGCCAGAGAGUCCUUUUGAUCACCUUUCUACAGAGACCCUCACAUGCGGCUGACAUUAAGACAGCUUUAGAUUUCAGGGCAUCCUUAAAAUAAAAAUGGCAAAUGUCGCACAAAACUCCUUCAACUGAUUUUUGAGCAACAUAAGCUGAGAUCUCUCUCAAGCCCUAAUUAUUUACCUUUUUUUACGUUACUCAUAUUAUAACAGGAAGGGACUUAAGCUACAGAAGUGGAACACAGAAGUCCAUCAAGUAAAAUCCAUAAAUGUAUGUCUUGGCAAACUGCUUUUAUAGUCUAGGCUUCUAAUCUUACAAAAUGUUAGUGUUCAGCAGGUCAGAUUUAUCUCUUAAAAUGUCUCUGAUGUCUCCUUGAGUUAAUGAAACAGCGUGCCUCCAGAGAUACUUCUAGCCAAUUAAACAUUUUUAUGGCUAGUGUUUCUUUAAAGAGAAAAAAAUGUUAAGUGCAAUCUGAGGGCAUAUCUUAUGAGGCUAAAAUAGCUCCCAUCACAGACUAAUUUUGAAUACUUCAUAGACCCCAGUGCCUGAAGAAGAAACCUGGAAUGAUUCCUAAUGCUAAGAGGUUGCUCCGUAUAAAUUGCCUUGGAAAGAUGAACCUGAGGGAAACCAGUAAUACUCCUGUCAUCCUGCAGAAGUAUUAAGGACUCUAGAGGUUAGAUAAUAUCUUCAAAUACAAGACGCAACAUUUUCUUAAAUCCACAUGCAUACGUGGCCCCAUCGGCAACUGUACCAGAGGGUAACUGAUGAGAUUAUAAGAUCUCCUUUGCGGGGACAACUUUACUUGCAGGCAAACACUCCCUGUAUGAUGGCUUAUAAUACUCAGACACAGUCACUAAAUAUUUUGAUCAACAUGUGUGUACACAAACAGCUGGGGACUCACUUCUGGCCUGCUGGAGAAAACUGGUUACUUUGUUCUUCUCUCAAAUUUAGCCCUCUAGUCACCCUCCCUGCUUGGCUGGUGUAUCUCAAUAAUCCACCAAAUUAGCAAAAUAAGUUUAUGUAGGUGUAUUUGUGAUUUGCCUAAUGGCUUGCUUUAUUGGGUUUUCUAACUCCAAAUACUUUCACCAACAUUUUACUUCACGUCCAAUUUUCCUCUACCCCCAUAAAUAGGCCAUAUUCUAAACUUUGUCUGGUACCAAAACAGAGAUAUAGAUCAAUGGAAUAGAACACAGCCCUCAGAAAUAACGCCACAUAUCUACAACUAUCUGAUCUUUGACAAACCUGACAAAAACAAGCAAUGGGGAAAGGAUUCCCUAUUUAAUAAAUGGUGCUGGGAAAACUGGCUAGCCAUAUGUAGAAAGCUGAAACUGGAUCCCUUCCUUACACCUUAUACUAAAAUUAAUUCAAGACGGAUUAAAGACUUAAACGUUAGACCUAAAACCAUAAAAACCCUAGAAGAAAACCUAGGCAUUACCCUUCAGGACAUAGGCAUGGGCAAGGACUUCAUGUCUAAAACACCAAAAGCAAUGGCAACAAAAGCCAAAAUUGACAAAUGCGAUCUAAUUAAACUAAAGAGCUUCUGCACAGCAAAAGAAACUACCAUCAGAGUGAACAGGCAACCUACAAAAUGGGAGAAAAUUUUUGCAACCUACUCAUCUGACAAAGGGCUAAUAUCCAGAAUCUACAAUGAACUCAAACAAAUUUACAAGAAAAAAACAACCCCAUCAAAAAGUAGGCGAAGGACAUGAACAGACACUUCUCAAAAGAAGACAUUUAUGCAGCCAAAAAACACAUGAAAAAAUGCCCA